rfam:Schistosoma haematobium scaffold657_8, whole genome shotgun sequence.
AUCCGGGUGAUGACGAGUCCCAUACAGGACGAAACGCGUGUCUUGGAU